UUUACUUUCUCCUUAACACAAACACACGCGUGCACCAUCUGCCUUGAUUUCUUUCUGCUCUCUGACACACAAAAGACAUUACUGAAUCCUGACUCUGUCUUACCUGACUCAAACGUUAGAGUUAAAGGGGAAACCGGUACUGUUGAGUUUCCUGAAACAGUCACAGAUCAUGCCUGUCCCUGGAAUCUGUAUUAAAACGUGAAUCCAGUGUCUCCAAUGCAUUAAUGUGGAAGUAUACUCUGCCUGUAAGUCCAUUCAUCUACUUCCAAGCAAACAAGUGGAGAAAAAAAAAGAGAAAUAGC